GUUUGCCCCGCACUCAUCUCUUUCCUCCUGAUUUCUUCCUGCCUGGUUGUCGUCUUGUUUUCCAACUGAAAAUCUUGUGCAACUUCUCCUCACCAAGCAACCACUGUGCUCCAGAUCUUUCAAAUUGAAAUUCCUCUCCUUCAACCUUUGCAUGUUGAAUUUCACAUCAACAGCAUCUCGAUCGGACUCAAGCUUUCCGACGGUAAUUGGACGAUUCCUCUAACGCCCGCCAUCAAGAGUUCGUCAUGAUCAUAGACAUGAGUCUAAUAUUAUCAAGUAAGAUGCCGAGUUCUCUUACAUUUGUGAAACAAACUGAUUAGAUUGCCGGCGUUGCAACAACCCUGAGUACCGAGCUAGAAGUGAAGUGAGAGAGAGAAAUGGUGCAGGGGGUAAUUUGGGCGACGGCGGAGGACUUGGCAAGAAACAGAGGACGCGUCCUCUCUCUGUAUCGCCAGAUACUCAGAAGCCUCAACUCGACGAGCUUGCCGCUGAAUCUGGCCGCAAGGCUGGCCAAGAAAGCGGAGGCGCACGCAAUCUUCAUGUUGGCGGCGGAGGAGAGAUCCCUGCACAACAUUGACGACCUCGUUGAUGCUGCUGACUACUCUCUCUCCCUCUUGAGGAAGGGGGAAUUACCCAAGUACAUUCAAUGAGUAAGUUUCUGUUUCUUGUGGAUUUUCACCCGAAUUGGAGCUUGACCCACUUGGGAUUUGGUGUCCAAUUGUUGAAUUCAAUUGGGUUUUUGGGGAAUGAUUAUCAUUCGAUGCAUUUAAUUAAUAGAAGAAAUUGAUUGCUUUCUGCAUUUUGUUGGAAGUUUUUAUGUGCUUUCAGUGAUUGAUUUACUUAUGUGAUCUCAGUUAGUUUUAAUAUUGAAAUUGUCCACGUUAAAUGAUAUUUGGUUAUUUGGAAGGUCGGUAUUUUGGGUUUUAGUUUUGAAGUCGAUUAAUUAGUGAAAUGUAUUAUGUUUUGUGGGGGGCUAAGGCAGGAGAAAAGAGAGGUUUUAGAGAUUAGUAGAUAAAAUUCAUUCAUUACUUCUCAAACAGGGAUAAAAAUCUUUGCCCGUGCUGCAGACUGCAGCAUGUGUAUUUGGCAUCUGAUGCCGGUAUCAGUAUACAGAGUUAGGGUUGUACUAACAUAUCCAAAAAGCAUCAAAUUCUUCCCUGCAUAUGAUUUAUGGAAGUUGGCAUCUUCCAAGUCCUAUUUUCAAAUGUUUGGUUUUGUAUGUCUAGUUCUGGUUUUGUGUUUUUCUUGUGUGGUUUUUUCUGAAUACCUUGGACUGGGAAGACUUGGAAAGAGAUGACACAAAAUCGAGCGCAAUGGCGUUCUAAGUUUCAUAUAGCUGACCCCACUUAGUGGGAUAACGCUUUGUUGUUGUUGUUGUUGUUGUUCUAUCAAAUGCUUAUAUUGUCACAGAUUGUGAACAGCUCGACAGUCCACACCAUUGUUUGAACUCUAUGGUGAUCUCUAGCUAUCAAACUCUACAUUAAUCAUUUAAUUUGAUGUACUGAUCAUACUUGGAAAGCAGUACCUUUAUGGUGAUUUCGUACACCACUAGCUAUAAAUAGUGGGAGGAUCGACCUAUGUGUGUUUGUUACAUAUAGUUUAAGUUGCAAAUUAACAAGUCUUAUAAUUGAUUAACAAAUGUGGUAUAGCUGGAAUUUUUACAGUAUUAAAUCAUUAGAAAAUGACAUAAACCAUCACAUCCUUUCUUGCUUGAUGUCAUACUUGAAGUUGAAAGCGUUGGUGCUACUGUAAAAACCAUCGUCCAAGUCAUCAGUAACAUGCACUUGAUCAUUGUUACCAGUGUCGCGACGGGAGUAGGAGAAGGGAACAUCACAUGAAGCCUUGGCGGCCAGCAGCCUCACCUUCACCACGCUCAUUGCCGGCACACCAACCAUGCAAACAGCCUCCACUUGAGUUUCGGAUGUCUCGGUUUCUCCCCACUGGACCGCCCCUUUAAACUCACCCCCUGAAAUCUCAAACUUCAUCGCUCCGUUGUCACCUCCUGUGAUUUGUGGAAUGCCAUCGGCUUCAACGUUGGUUUUCGGCUUUAUCGAAUAAACUCUACUGAUAUCAUUCCAACUGCAAAUAUUCGACUUCUUGUAGAGCAACUUGAGUACUACGUUUGUGGUUUGUUGGGUGAAGUUGACGGCUUCUCCUGUGGCAAUUACCGUGUCAUUUUGGUAAUUGUAGAUCCGGGCAUGGGCGAGGCGGUAACUGACAUUGUAGAUGGUCCUCGACUUAACAGGCUCUUCAACGUGGAGGUGUGAAUAAAUGGAGAGAUUAGAGACGUUGGCGCACAUACCAGUAAUAUCAGUAAUCCCGCAUGUGUAUCUCUUGCAGUACUUCUUGUUCCCUUCGUUCAUGAGAGCUAUGGCUUUGUCAUAAAGCUUGAACGCCCGAUACAAUGUGUCUUUGUAGUUUUUGACUCGGGUGGUAGGGUUAAACGCGUCCGGCCAGAUCCACUUGUCUUUGGCGAGUCUCCAGUAUCUUCCGAAGAAACUGUUUUUUAUUUGCAAGGUUCCGUCGGGGUUUCUGAAGAUCUCAUUCGCUGCAAUAGGAUCACAUGCGUCAUGACCAUCAAAUUGGAGAUACGGCCCAUCUUCUUCGUCGCCUCUGUUGUGCAUAUCCUUGUCGUCGACCAUAUUGGCUGUGAGGUAGUUACCAUCGUCUCCCUUGAACACCACAUGUUUCGGCAAUAUCACCAGCGAUUCCCAAUUGACGACUGUGCACACAUCGUGCGACUCUGCAUUGUUAGGAUCGUCUGCUGCGGUUGAGCCUCCAUAAAGUACUAAGGCGUCGGAGCUGCUGUGUAACGUAGCGUAACAUCCGAGAUGGACAUGCCGAAAUUGGACCACCUGACUAUCAAUAUCAUCACAAUUAUUAUUAUUUUUAUUAUUAUUAUUAUUGUUAUUAUUA